rnacentral:lncRNA from 1 species
AGCUCCACCUGUGGAGUUGAGGAUGGGCUGAGCCCACUUGCGAGCCCAGGACCCAUGGGGCAGCUCCACCCUGUGCACCUUGUCCCUUGUGCAGCAGCUCAGAGCUGGUGGUGACAGCCAAGGGGGCAAAGGGGACGACUGACCACAAGUGAGGCCCAGUGGAGCUUCCCACCCCGUGUAUCCUUUGGUUGGGGUCAGGUGCUGGGGCCCCAGUCCUGUUUGUUUCAGCACCCUGGGCCCAACCUGAACCUGUCCUCUGCCCCAUAUCCCUGGGAGGCCUCCCUGCACCCCCACCCACUGGGGCUGGCUUAGGCAAGGGUGUUUGAGACAAAGACCCUGCCCCCAUGGCCAGGUACCUCAGAACCCAGGCCAGAUCCACACAAGGCUCUCGGUCAGUCCCAGAUGGAAGCUCCAGUCCCAGGCCGUGACAUGCAUCAGCUCCCACACCCAAGAUUGUCCCAGAGAAAGCGCUCUGCCCUCCCCAUCCACAGCACCACGAGGGCCAUAGCUGCACUGCCGCACCUCUCCAGCUCCAGAGACAUCCCUGAGAGGCAGCCAUCAGGAGUGCCCAGCUGAGGACACGCCUCCUUGGGGACCCUCAUUCCUGAGUCCAUGCCUCCAGAUUCACGAUCUCAG